CGGCAAAAGCUCAAAUUUGAAAUCUGUCACUUUUAGUGUCCGAAUUGUAAUUUGGAGAAGCAACUUUGGUCUUGGUCCUUGCAUAUGUUCCUUGGAAUAGGACAUCAUAGAGGGUGAGAAUCCCGUAUAUGGCGAGGAAUCCUUGACUAUGUAAAGUGCUUUCGAA
rnacentral:rRNA from 1 species